CCCACAGCGGUGCAGACCUCCAUCUCUCAGAUCUGGCCUGCGCUCAACUGCAAAAUUAUCAACACUGGGACUAAUCCGCGUCGGUACAGAGUGGGUUUUUGUUUUUCAGAAUUUACCUUUUUUUUCAGGUGAAUGUUGAGAAAGCAGAUUUUGAACGCUCAAGCCAGCUCUACAGUUCAAGCAGACUUGGCAGUCAAUUGGGGCACGGCGUCUAUUUGAGGAAAUACGGUAACAUAAAUUAUUCUCCCAUCGUUAAUGAAAAAUGAAACCGACUGGUGAGCGGCAGUAAAAAAAAAAAAAAAAAAAAAAAAAUUGUGAGUUGACUGUUUUUCGUGUAACAUUCACUUUGGUUUACCAUUUUUUUCCUCCACAGUAAACCAUGUCCCUAAUAGCUU